rnacentral:ncRNA from 1 species
UUGCCCCAAUAAAAGGGGUAAAGGUCAUCCAGUGAGACGAUGGGGGAUAAGCUUCAUCAUCGAGAGGGGAACAACCCAGAUCAUCAGCUAAGGCCCCUAAAUGACCACUCAGUGAUGAAGGAAGUAAGAGUGCAAAGACAACCAGGAGGUUUGCCUAGAAGCAACCGACCUUGAAAGAGUGUGUAAUAGCUCACUGAUCGAGCGCUCUUGCACUGAAGAUGAACGAGACUAAGUAUCUGCCAAAGCUAUGGGAUGUAAAAAUACAUCGGUAGGGGAGCGUUCCGCCUCAGAGGGAAGCACCGACGCGAGCAGGUGUGGACGAAGCAGAAGCG